rnacentral:lncRNA from 1 species
UAAGGAUCAUUUGCACAACUCUCACUUAGAGAACCAUCUUUGACAUGCAAGUAGACUUCCAUAAGAUAUUCUCUUUCAUCGAGUCAAUUCAGUGGACUCAUUUCUCAAAUGAGCACCCACAACCUAGUAUUAGUGUCUCACACAAGUGGCUAGUAAGAUCUGCCAUCCUCUCCAUCGAGCAUACAUAGGAUGUGCCAGUCUAUCCGGAA